rnacentral:rRNA from 1 species
CUAGCCUUUUAAUUGGAGGCCUGCAUGAAUGGCUUGACGAGCGCCCUGCUGUCUCUCUUCCCAUGAACUUUUAAAUUAACUUUCGCGUGCAAAGGCGCGAAUGGCUGAGUUAGACGAAAAGACCCUAUGCAUCUUUACUGAGAGAGAAGAAAGUUCUUUAGCUUGGUUUAGCUGGGGCAGCUGAGGAAAAGGCAAAAUUUCCUUAAUAUAAAUCAUACUGGUGGGUUUAGAUCCAGGCUCUUUAGCGGGCUUGACAAGUAGAAAAGUUACGCUAGGGAUAACAGCGUUAUCCUUCUGUGGAGGUCUUAUCUGCAGGAGGGAUUGCGACCUCGAUGUUGAAUUAGGGAUAUACCAGAAAGGCGCAGAAGCUUUUAUUGUGGGUCUGUUCCACCCU